rnacentral:rRNA from 1 species
GACGAACGCUGGCGGCGUGGAUUAGGCAUGCAAGUCGAACGGUAGGAUACCUUCGGGUAUCUGAGAGUGGCGAACGGGUGAGUAACACGUAGGUGAUCUACCCUCAAGAUUGGGACAACCCAGGGAAACUUGGGCUAAUACCGGAUGAAAGCAGCAGUGAUGUUGUUUGAAAGGUGGCGUAAGCUGCCGUUUGGGGAUGAGCCUGCGCUCUAUUAGUUAGUUGGCGGGGUAAAGGCCCACCAAGGCGAUGAUAGAUAGGCGGCCUUAACGGGUGGUCGCCCACACUGGGAUUGAGAUACGGCCCAGACUCCUACGGGAGGCAGCAGUCGAGAAUAGUCUACAAUGGCCGAAAGGCUGAUAGUGCGACGCCGCGUGAACGAAGAAGCCCUUCGGGUGUAAGUCUUUUAUAUGUGAGCAGUGCUUUCUAUGUGACAGCAUGGGAGAGAGAUAUUAGCAUAUGAAUAAGCAACGGCUAACUCCGUGCCAGCACG